CGUGCAGAGCAUUUUGAAAAGCAUGUCUUUGGGAUGCUUUGAUUUACUUUGAUCCUAAUGCGGAAAAGUACUGUCUUUUGGGAAGAAUGCUGAAGAGGUUCAUUUGAACGGAGAAAAUGUGGUUGAGAAGGUAGACCCAUCAAAGGUGGCAGCCGGAUUUCCCGAAGGAGAUUUGUCGAUGUCCAAUAGUAAAGUCGGUGAAUACUUCACAUCAAUAUAUGAUUAAAAAUAUUGUUAAAUAAUUUAAUAAUUUUGCAUAAUAAUUGUUAUGCUAUGAUUUUUUUUUUUUUUUUUUUUAUAAUAAAAAUUUAGAUGGGUUGAAUUAUGGAGCUCUCUUACAUUUUUCCUUAGUAUAAUGAUUGAAGAGCAGCAGAAUUUGUAUCA